UACGGAGGGUGCAAGCGUUAUCCGGAUUCACUGGGUUUAAAGGGCGCGCAGGCGGACUUGUAAGUCAGUGGUGAAAUACCUGAGCUUAACUCGGGAACUGCCAUUGAUACUAUAGGUCUUGAAUGUUGUUGAGGUUUGCGGAAUGGGUCAUGUAGCGGUGAAAUGCAUAGAUAUGACCCGGAACACCUAUUGCGAAGGCAGCAGGCUAAGCGAAGAUUGACGCUGAGGCUCGAAAGCGUGGGGAUCAAACAGG
rnacentral:rRNA from 1 species